UACUCAGUUCGGAUUGUAGUCUGCAACUCGACUACAUGAAGCUGGAAUCGCUAGUAAUCGCAGAUCAGAAUGCCGCGGUGAAUACGUUCCCGGGUCUUGUACACACCGCCCGUCACACCAUGGGAGUCGGAAAUGCCCGAAGCCGGUGACCCAACCAAAAGGAGGGAGCCGUCGAAGGCAGGUCUGAUAACUGGGGUGAAGUCGUAACAAGGUACC
rnacentral:rRNA from 1 species